AUUGAACGCUGGCGGCAGGCCUAACACAUGCAAGUCGAACGAGUGGCGGACGGGUGAGUAAUGUCUGGGAAACUGCCCGAUGGAGGGGGAUAACAACUGGAAACGGUAGCUAAUACCGCAUACCAUCGGAUGUGCCCAGAUGGGAUUAGCUUGUAGGUGAGGUAACGGCUCACCUAGGCGACGAUCCCUAGCUGGUCUGAGAGGAUGACCAGCCACACGGGAACUGAGACACGGUCCAGACUCCUACGGGAGGCAGCAUGGGGGAAUAGUGGACAAGGGGCGAAAGCCUGAUCCAGCCAUGCCGCGUGUGGGAAGAAGGUCUUCGGAUUGUAAAGCACUUUAAGUUGGGAGGCGUUACCAACAGAAUAAGCACCGGCUAACUUCGUGCCAGCCGCCGCGGUAAUAC
rnacentral:rRNA from 1 species